rnacentral:sRNA from 1 species
UAACGGCGAGUGAAGCGGCAACAGCUCAAAUUUGAAAUCUGGCCCUUUCAGGGUCCGAGUUGUAAUUUGCAGAGGGCGCUUUGGCAUUGGCAGCGGUCCAAGUUCUUUGGAACAGGACGUCACAGAGGGUGAGAAUCCCGUACGUGGUCGCUAGCCUUUGCUGUGUAAAGCCCCUUCGACGAGUCGAGUUGUUUGGGAAUGCAGCUCUAAAUGGGAGGUAAAUUUCUUCUAAAGCUAAAUACUGGCCAGAGACCGAUAGCGCACAAGUAGAGUGAUCGAAAGAUGAAAAGCACUUUGGAAAGAGAGUCAAAUAGCACGUGAAAUUGUUGAAAGGGAAGCGCUUGCAGCCAGACUUGCCUGUAGUUGCUUAUCUGGACUUUUGUCCAGUGCACUCUUCUGCGGGCAGGCCAGCAUCAGUUUGGGCGGUUGGAUAAAGGUCUCUAUCACGUACCUCUCUUCGGGGAGGCCUUAUAGGGGAGACGUCAUGCAACCAGCCUGGACUGAGGUCCGCGCAUCUGCUAGGAUGCUGGCGUAAUGGCUGUAAGCGGCCCGUCUUGAAACACGGACCAAGGAGUCUAACAUCUAUGCGAGUGUUUGGGUGUCAAGCCCAGACGCGUAAUGAAAGUGAACGGAGGUGGGAACCCUUUGGGUGCACCAUCGACCGAUCCUGAUGUCUUCGGAAGGAUUUGAGUAAGAGCAUGGCUGUUGGGACCCGAAAGAUGGUGAACUAUGCUUGAAUAGGGUGAAGCCAGAGGAAACUCUGGUGGAGGCUCGCAGCGGUUCUGACGUGCAAAUCGAUCGUCAAAUUUGGGCAUAGGGGCGAAAGACUA